rnacentral:rRNA from 1 species
GACGAACGCUGGCGGCGUGCUUAACACAUGCAAGUCGAACGGAAAGGCCCUGCUUUUGUGGGGUGCUCGAGUGGCGAACGGGUGAGUAACACGUGAGUAACCUGCCCUUGACUUUGGGAUAACUUCAGGAAACUGGGGCUAAUACCGGAUAGGAGCUCCUGCUGCAUGGUGGGGGUUGGAAAGUUUCGGCGGUUGGGGAUGGACUCGCGGCUUAUCAGCUUGUUGGUGGGGUAGUGGCUUACCAAGGUUUUGACGGGUAGCCGGCCUGAGAGGGUGACCGGCCACAUUGGGACUGAGAUACGGCCCAGACUCCUACGGGAGGCAGCAGUGGGGAAUAUUGCACAAUGGGCGGAAGCCUGAGGCAGCAACGCCGCGUGCGGGAUGACGGCCUUCGGGUUGUAAACCGCUUUCGCCUGUGACGAAGCGUGAGUGACGGUAAUGGGUAAAGAAGCACCGGCUAACUACGUG